rnacentral:lncRNA from 1 species
CCGACUCUCUCCUCCGGCUUCCCCGCUUUGAGUCAUGCUCAGCAUGUUAUCAGGGAAACCAGCAGUCCAUGCAUCGACGGGAAGGUUUUGUUGAUUUCUUUCUCCAGCCUGUCAGCUUGGCUGCGAGCUCGGUGACUCAGACAUGCAACAAGGAGACUGUGAGGAGGAGUGGAUGGAGAGUCAUCUGAAUUCUAGUCCUGGCUCUGCCUUUGUGUCAUCGUCAGUCCCCACCAACCCCCAUGGAUUUUUCAUCAGUAAAUGCUGAAAGUGGACAUCGUGUGUGUUGAAAUGCCUGGACCUUGAACUCUAAGGGCAUUUAAGACCUCCUCUCUCCCCUCCGUGGGGCCCAUGUUCCUAGUGCGCAGGACACCAGAAAAAGGAGACCGUUGUUAUUUGGCUAUAUUUAUGCUAAAGCUGAAACUCCAGUACUUUGGCCACCUCAUGCGAAGAGUUGACUCAUUGGAAAAGACUCUGAUGCUGGGAGGGAUUGGGGGCAGGAGGAGAAGGGGACGACAGAGGAUGAGAUGGCUGGAUGGCAUCACCAACUUGAUGGACGUGGGUGAGUUUGAGUGAACUCCGGGAGUUGGUGAUGGACAGGGAGGCCUGGCGUGCUGCAAUUCAUGGGGUUGCAAAGAGUCGGACAUGACUGAGUGACUGAACUGAACUGAUGGGUAAACAUCAUUAUCAAAUUCAAUAUAGAUACUGAAUUUUUAUUUAAUUAAAAAAGUAGGGUUAUCACAUUAAAUUCUUAGACAAACACAAUUAAGAGGUCUGUUUUUUGAAACAGUGGUUG